AUUGAACGCUGGCGGCAGGCCUAACACAUGCAAGUCGAACGAGUGGCGGAAGGGUGAGUAAUGUCUGGGGAACUGCCUGAUGGAGGGGGAUAACUACUGGAAACGGUAGCUAAUACCGCAUACCAUCAGAUGUGCCCAGAUGGGAUUAGCUAGUGGGUGGGGUAACGGCUCACCAAGGCGACGAUCCCUAGCUGGUCUGAGAGGAUGACCAGCCACACUGGAACUGAGACACGGUCCAGACUCCUACGGGAGGCAGCAGUGGGGAAUAUUGCACAAGGGGCGCAAGCCUGAUACAGCCAUGCCGAGGGUAUGAAGAAGGCCUUCGGGUUGUAAAGUACUGUCAGCGGGGAGGCGGUACCCGCAGAAGAAGCACCGGCUAACUCCGUGCCAGCAGCCGCGGUAAUUC
rnacentral:rRNA from 1 species